rnacentral:rRNA from 1 species
GAUGAACGCUGGCGGCGUGCCUAAUACAUGCAAGUCGAGCGAACAGACGAUGCGCUUGCUCCUCUGACGAUAGCGGCGGACGGGUGAGUAACACGUGUAUCCCCUACCUAUAUUACUGGGAUCAUUUCGGGAAACCGGCGCUAAUACCGUAUAAUAUAUUGAACCACAUGGUUCAAUAGUGAAAUACGGUUUUUCUGUCAGUUAUAGAUGGAUCUUCGCCGAUUGAGCGAGUUGUUACGGUACAGGCCUUCCAAGGCAACCAUGCGUAGCCGAGGUGAGGGGGAGAUAGCCGACCUUGGAACGGAGACACCGUCCAGGUUCCUACGGGAGGCAGCAGUAGGGUAUCUGCCGCAAUGGUCGAAAGCAUGACGGAGCAACGCCGCGUGAGUGAUGAAAGUCUUCGGAGCGUGAAACUCUGUUAUUAGGGAAGAACCAAUGUGUAAGUAACUAUGCACGUCUUGACGGUACCUAAUCAGAAAGCCACGGCUAACUACGUG